UGGCUGUCCUCGCCACAGUUAUUGCGGGCGGAACAACCUUUGAGCUGUUCACUAAACAUUGGGAUACAGAACGGAAAAAUGCUAUUUACUACAAGUGCAUCACUGCAUUCUCACUCCUGGGUAACAGUAAACGAAUCCUGCAAGUUACGAAGGAUGGCAACCCUGAAACACGAUGCUACAAGUUUGUGUUUGGCCUACGUUUUUUAAGCAUAUUCUGGAUAUGCUUGGGUCAUUCCUAUGCAACAAUCAACGAAAACCUAACAAGGCUCGCUAACGCCGUGUUCAUAUUCGAAAGCUGGGAGUCACCAAUCAUAUCAGCAGGCUUCAUGGCUGUGGACACGUUUUUCUUCAUGAG